UACGGGGGGAGCAAGCGUUGUUCGGAUUUACUGGGCGUAAAGGGCGCGUAGGCGGUCAGCACAAGUCAGUUGUGAAAUCUCCGGGCUUAACCCGGAAAGGUCAACUGAUACUGUGCGACUAGAGUGCGGAAGGGGCAACUGGAAUUCCUGGUGUAGAGGUGAAAUUCGUAGAUAUCGGGAGGAACACCAGUGGCGAAGGCGGCGACCUGGGCCAAUAUUGACGCUGAGGUGCGAAAGCGUGGGGAGCAAACAGG
rnacentral:rRNA from 1 species